AAAUCAGCACCAAAUUACUCAUUGUAGAACAAUCAAUCUUUAUUUAUAUGGUGCCAAUUCACAACAAGAGUUUACUCAAGAUGCUUUACAAAAAAGACCAGACUCUAUUUACAAAGACCUGAUGUAAAGAUGGGAUCAGACUGAGCUCCAUCUUGUAAGAUCAGACCCACUCCCAUCCCAUCUUCAACCCCAUGAGUGAAACACUUCACAGCAUCUAUCAAGUGACAGUGGAGAGGAAGUACUUCUUUUAACAGGCAGAAACCUCGAGCAGAACCAGACUGAUGUUAGACAGUCGUCUGCUGAGUCUGAGCAGGGUUUAGAGAGGGGAGAGAGGAGAGACUGAUUCUUGUAGUUGGAGCAGCUGGAAAGCAGUCAGGUCCACAGCAGCAGGAUGUCUGUAGCAGUAACUCAGAGGAACGUACAUAAAUAUGGAGCUCAGAGACUCCCAGUAAAGACUGCGUAUUGGUGACUCUAAUGGGACAUGAUGAUUCAGAGUUAAUGACAGACAGAAAGAGGAUGGUGGGGUAGGGGGAAGUCGCCAGUUUGCUAGUACACCGGCAGUCGAAACCUAGAGCAGCAUAACUAAGAACAGGUCUAAUUCUGAAACAGCUCCAAGGAAAAACGGUAUCAAAGAGGAACAUUUCGAGCCAACUCUUGAAGGUAAAAAGGUUUUCCAGUGGAAAGGGGCCUCAUAACUGAAAGCUCUUCCACACAGACCGCCCAACUAUAACUAAGGGUCUCACAAAUGAGGAAAUAGUUGUGCACGAAUUUCCAUCCUGUAAAGCCUCUCAUAGUCUGGUCAUACCACCAAAAUGCCAAUCUGCCUUGAUAACACCUGGCAAAUGGUUUAUUGUUGUGCACCAAAACACUCAUGUUAUUGAAGUCCUAAUAACCCUAAAUAAAAGUGUCCAACUAAAAAUAUGUCUUCCACUGAAAUGACUGUCUUGUUCACGACAAAUUCACUUAUAUAAACGUAUUAAUCCACCCUGGUUCCCUUUUCUAAAGUUGCCUCCUCAUCAUACUCAGUAAAUAAAAUACAGCACUCAACCACAGGACAGGAUAGGCUACACCUUAAAAAUAACAGCCGUCUGCUGAGAUACAAAAGUUCUACUCCCAUUGAGUAGAAAGUGAAAAAAGUAGCUCAAGAAGAAAAAAUAUCUUCUGUCCUGAAGUGGAGGCUGUGGCUUUAGUUUAGUCUGGAGAUAAAGGUCCAAUCUCAGGUUCCCAGGAGUUCUUGGACAAGACACCUGACCCCACACUCUCAAGCUGA